rnacentral:rRNA from 1 species
CAAUAGCGUAUAUUUAAGUUGUUGCAGUUAAAAAGCUCGUAGUUGGAUUUCGGAUGGGACUUGCCGGUCCGUCGUUUCGAUGUGCACUGGCCAGUCCUAUCUUGUUGUCGGGGACUAGCUCCUGGGCUUCACUGUCCGGGACUAGGAGCUGACGAGGUUACUUUGAGUAAAUUAGAGUGUUCAAAGCAAGCCUACGCUCUGAAUACAUUAGCAUGGAAUAACACGAUAGGACUCUGGCUUAUCUUGUUGGUCUGUGAGACCAGAGUAAUGAUUAAGAGGGACAGUCGGGGGCAUUCGUAUUUCAUUGUCAGAGGUGAAAUUCUUGGAUUUAUGAAAGACGAACUUCUGCGAAAGCAUUUGCCAAGGAUGUUUUCAUUGA